rnacentral:lncRNA from 1 species
GGUGUCCAUCGUGGAUGAAGAAAUAGUGGCGUAUCUAUGCCAGGGAGUAUUAUUCAGCCACAGACAGGAAUGAAAGCACUGAUCCUGCUACAACAUGGAUGAACUCUGAAAACGUGUGCAGUGAAAGAUGCCAGACGCAAAGCCACGGGGUAGAGGAUUCCUUCACUAUGGAAAAUCCGGAGCAGGCAAAUCCAUGGAGACAGAAAGCAGAGGAGGAGGUCGAGGCUCAGAGAGGCGAGGGGGGCCUACCCAAGGCCAUGUCAUUGAGAGAAUGAGGAGCCAGGAUCCAAAGAAGGCAGGCUGGAUGCUACCUCCUGGGAAGACUCCAUGGGCCAUGGGGACAAUCGGGGACAUUUGUGGCUGAGCCCCUGCAGGUCCGGGGCCUCAGAGCACGGAAUUAACUGCAUCCUCAGCUCACCGGCUCCCUGUCAACAGCCCUCCUCCCACACCCAACGCACAGACACAGGAAAAGGAAGGGUCGCAGAGCUCCUAGUGAGCUGGGGGCAGAGACGGAAGCCUUCCACGCUGUACACGCCACGGCCUGGCCCAUGGCACAGAGGAGCAGCCUGGGGUCUGAGAAGUCACACAGCAGAGUUAGAGCCAAGUCUGAGCCAGUGCCAGCUCUGCACCCUUUCCAGUGAUGGCACAGCCGCGUGGCCAGGGGCAGCCGGCACCCUCACUCACAGUUCGGGCCACUCAUAAAGUAUGAGAGUCAACAGCCAAACCCUUACAUUUUAAGGACGCUCCAUGUUCUGGAACAAUCCACCCAUGGUGGAGGGGCAGGGCUGGAGGGCCUGUGUCUUCAGGCUCUGAGGAACACCACGGGGCCGUCAAGUGGACGGAGCAAAUGUGCCUGCCGGUGCUCAGGCCUGUCC